rnacentral:rRNA from 1 species
AGUGAACGCUGGCGGCAUGCCUUACACAUGCAAGUCGAACGGUAACAGGUCUUCGGAUGCUGACGAGUGGCGAACGGGUGAGUAAUACAUCGGAACGUGCCUAGUAGUGGGGGAUAACUACUCGAAAGAGUGGCUAAUACCGCAUGAGAUCUACGGAUGAAAGCAGGGGAUCGCAAGACCUUGUGCUACUAGAGCGGCCGAUGGCAGAUUAGGUAGUUGGUGGGAUAGAAGCUUACCAAGCCGACGAUCUGUAGCUGGUCUGAGAGGACGAUCAGCCACACUGGGACUGAGACACGGCCCAGACUCCUACGGGAGGCAGCAGUGGGGAAUUUUGGACAAUGGGCGCAAGCCUGAUCCAGCAAUGCCGCGUGCAGGAUGAAGGCCUUCGGGUUGUAAACUGCCUUUGUACGGAACGAAAAGCCCUGGGUUAAUACCCUGGGGUCAUGACGGUACCGUAAGAAUAAGCACCGGCUAACUACGUGCCAGCCGCCGCGGUAA